UAGGCCUAAAAUCUGGGUCUAGGCGAAGCACCACUUUGUUUUGAUGGUACUUCAUAUUAGGAACAUCAACGCAUAGGGCAUUUAGUUCACUCACUCUCUGAGCUGAUGUUAUGGCCAAUAGAAAGGCCAUUUUCAAUGUCACAAGUUUAGGCUGAGCCGUCGCCAUAGGCACAAAGGGGGGUUCCAUUCAGGAGCCAGUCAGUGAGAAAUGGAAAGAACAUUGGUGCUCGUGACCAAAGAAGAAAACUUUCCUAACUGAAGAACUGUCUGAGCUGCCAACACAAUAGCGGUCAGAAAGGAACUGAGGUGAUAAGCACCAGCCAGCCCAAAUCAACGGAAUGCACCACAUGCAAGGGGUGGGGCUGGGUGUGUCAAGGAGCUAGUCAAUUCUGCCUGAAUGGUCCCGCACAGGCGCAGUACCCACUCUUAUGAGUGCAACGGAUCAUGAUCCAGAUCAUAUACUUCUGAACUUGUGACAGGAUAUAAGAUCAUAUACCUCUCAUUACUGCCCCUCUGUAAUUGCCAGAGGCCCAUAUUUACGUACAUAUGCUUACACAACCAAGUGUGUUGGAGUAGGAAAAACAUACUUUGGUAACUAUUCAAAGAUGCUAUUCUUUUAUAUAUAUCUGACCUUCUUGUCAUGAGGUCAGUCUCACUCUCCAACAAUGGAGAAGUUGGGAGGACAUCCCACCUUGCUGCCCAGGAUUCUUUAAAUGGAAGAUGACCAGGAUUGGGUCUCAGACCUGUAUAUGUAAUAUGGGUUCUUCUACAGAGCUACACUCCUUCCCAUUCUGGUAAUGCUUUCCACAGAUUAACGGGGGGGGGGGCAGUGAGAAUCUUUUUCUGCCCAUUUUAAUCUUGAGUGCCUUCUAGUUCUUGUGCAAUGCAAAAUAAUUAACAUUAUUACUAUUAACUUCUGAUAUAUCAGUUUCAUACCCCUUAGUGUGUUUUUUUAAUCCCACCACUGGAGGGGUUCUGUUCUUGUAUGUUCUGUUUUUUGAGUGUUGUUGCAUAGCCCUCAGGGAUAUGUAUUUGCAAGACACAGAGCACUUCUAGAGGCACGAAAAAACCAGCGAAAAUUCACUUUUCUCCCCUGUCCCCACAUACAUGCACUCUGCAGAGAGGAAGCCUCUGGUUCCAUUACCAUCAGCCUCCCAUUGUGUCCUCACUUCCAGGAUGUCAACAAGUAUAUUAGAGAGAGCAGACACUUUAUUUGGGUCUUGUUUAUUUAAAAAUAGUAGGUAGCAUCCAGACUAACGCUCCAUCAGUAGAAGCUCCUUAUGCUUGCUCUUGUAAGAGUGUAUUGAUAAAAACACUAAUCUGAAUA